CUCAAUGUGAAAAGACAGAGGGUCCAAUAAACUAAUCAUUUACUAAAUAUUAUCUACACUUAAAUAGGUCAUGGACGUACAAAAGGUAAUAAUGUUCUAAUUUGUUCCUAUUCCAUAGCCAAACAAGACCUAUACUCUCCCCAGGACUCAAAAAUUGGGUGUCACGUGAAAACUGCCAAUUUUCAAGGACUAUGUCCUGGUUUCUGGUAUUCCGACCGGCGAAUUAGCCGUUUUCCGGCGAAAACAUUAUGGAGAAAGAGCCUCUCCUCUCUUAUGACAGCCCGAGGACACCACNNNN
rnacentral:lncRNA from 1 species